GACAGAUGGGCCGGAGAACGGGCCCGGCGACGACUGGCGGGGGGCGUCUGGAUGGGACGGGUGGAGGGGAUGCAGUUGGCAAUGAAGCCUCUUAUGUGCCUCCGUGUUGUGGCGGGUGGGCUUGAGGCCUGGGUGCGGCGAUAUGGGGGGCCUCGUGCUCUGCUGAGCCUGGAUCCAGCUCCUGCGAUGCAGCAUCUAGGGGACUUAGGGAUUGUUCCUGCUGCACAUCCAGAUCCAUCGGCCCUGCGUGUCCACGGCAGGGGCGAAAACACCACGGCUGUGCCACGGAUGUCCCAUACCGGCAGCACCGUGUAGUACAGAUCAACAGGAAGAGAGGGAGAGAGAGUCAGGCUGGAAUGAAUUCAAGGACAAGCUGGAAAGGCCACUCGAAAAGUUAUCGCCUGCGGAGAGAGAGAUCUGAUCCCUGAACGCAAUCAUCAUCUGUAAGAAAGAGGGAGAGAAAUAAAAGAAAAAAGGGCUUGAUACUCAGGGAAGCUACAACUUCUUGACGCUUGUUGGAAGUUGCCUUGAUGUUUCUUGGCCAUGUAGAAGGAUCCUGGUAUCAAUGAGCAUCACACCCAGAGAGUCUCAGUGCUGGGAAGUUUGCACCUAGUCCCUCAAGGGACCUGUCCUGUAAAAUUAAUUGUCCCUCUCCUUCCCGCUGCCAGCGCUCAGAUCUAAUCCAAGAAACAAGGAAGAGCCCGUCCCACCAAAACUAAGUACUCACAACCAGAAAGUUCAUCUACAGAUGGGCUGCUCGGCAAGAACUGUAGUUGGAAGUUUGAGAGAGAAGAUUCCAAGAUGAACCCUGAUUUUAUACUCUGUGGCUUGGCUAAAGUAUCAGAAAGCUUCCUAAAUAAGGUAAAAUAUAUAUUACACACACUAUUUCUAUCUAUAC